rnacentral:sRNA from 1 species
UGUGCUCCCUGCCGAGGAGAUGUGAGGGAUUUUCUCUUGGGGGAGAAAUCAGUGGUCGAGCGCCUGCCCAGCUCAAAUGCCACCCGGCUCAGAGGGAGGCCUGCGGCCCAGGGAUCCCGGAGGGAGAGCAACGUCACACCUCCUGAGGACAGCCAGGACUCCAGCUUUUGCUGAGCUUUGCAUCUUGCCUCCUUCCUUCAAAAGGCUCCAGGCCCAUGCUUGGCUGUCUUCAAGUCCCGCAUGCCCCUGGCCAGGCACCUCACCGCCCCUCCAGCCCAGCCCAGUCCUAGAGCUCACCUCCAGGACCCAGAGUCUGCCCUUCUGCCCAGAAUGACUCACCAUUAUUUCUAGCUCAAGUGAGACGUGAUGAGGAGUUGGGCUGCCUGUUUGUGCAUCUCAGAUUCCUGCAGCAUCUGAUCAGCUCUGCAAGGAAGAGAACUUCACGUCUCUGGUCAGGUGGUCAGAAAAGAUCUCCCUGAUAAAGUCACCUUGAACAGAGGUCUGAAGGAUGUGAAGAAGGAGCCAUAAGGAUAUCUGAAAGAUAGGAGGAAAAUAAAAAACAAAAGACUCAAAAUACUGGCCUGAUGCAGCUCUGAUGGAAAGGUGGACCCCUGGCCAGAGAGGAAGAUUCCUAAGGCUCAUCAACCAACCACUGCAGGGAGCUUUCAGAUUUAGAGGAGAAGCCCCACUCCCCCUACUAAACCUCUCCAACGGGAGCUGACAGUCUUUGCCAUUGGCCUGUGAAUGUUCCCUUCCUCCUAUUGGUCAGCCUGGGGCCCUGACCCACCCCACACUCCAAAAUUCUGUUAAUUUCAUCCAGCAUUGUUCAGGUGGCUCCUGUGCACCAGGCCCUGAGGAUACAAAGAUGACUAAGCCUUGGCCGGCAUCCUGGAGGAGCUCACACGGAGAGACCUAUUAGGACUGGCCUGCACUAGCGGUAGGAAUCUGGCUGGAGCUGAAUGUUCACACUCUUUUGGCAGAUGGAGAUGGAGGGUUCCAGGCCAGAAGGGAACGCCUGCAGCGACAGAGCUGAGAAGGGAGCUCGGAUUUUAUGUGACCACCCCCACCUCCUGGGAGAAGCCAAACCACAGAAACAGAGUCCUGGCCUUGCCCUGAGGACAAAGACCGAAAAUGUGCCUGUACCUAAAGCGCCCUCCCCUUUCCACCAUAGGACUCAGGGGCGGGAGGGAGGGAGGGGGCUGCCUCCAACCUUGCUCACUGCUCCGUUGUUAGAAGAGGGAUCUACAAAUGACGGAGGCAAGGGUUUGCCCUGCAUGACUGCUGGACUGUGUGGGCAUUUUUCAUUACCAGGCUCCUUCAAGAUGCUGAUGAGAAUACACCCCCAUAAUUACACCCCUCCCCAUCUUACAGCUUCCUCAGGGAUGGAUCUCCCCCUCCCCAUCCUGUCACUCUUGACAGGUUGCCAUGUGGUCAGUGGGUUUCUUUGUGAGGGUCAGAGAGGGAGGCCUGGGCCUGCUGAGAGGACUGAGCUCCCAUCUGCCUUCAUCAGACUGGAAACUGAGCCAUUCAGAACCUGAUCCAAUGUGUUUUUUUCCAACCCAGUUUGAUUAAAGUCAGUAUCACCUGAAACCCAAGACUAAUGUAUGUCGACAAGGACUCCCAGGUGGCCCCCUCGGCCAGGACAACUCUCCCUCCCUGCAGCCCUUUGGAAACAAACUCAACAGGCAGGAGGCGCCAUUACCAUGGGGCCAGGAGCCAGGCCCUUGCUGAGUGAGACCGAGACGCCACUCUGGAAAGUCUCAGGGCAUCAAUAUUUCAUGCCGCUGGAGCUGUCUUUGUUUUUAUGCAAAUUGCUCAGGCUGCCAGAUGGGCAAAGGCUGGCAGCGUCAUCCAUCACCAGGCUGUUCCCUCGUCAGCAGCCUCACCGGCUGCCAGGGCCCUGCAGGCUGGCCUCAGCUGCGGCCCGUCCUCUCAGUCGGUCUGCACAGCGGGACACAGCCCCAUCCUAGACACUGUGGGAGACGCAGGGGAAGCCAGAGUCCUUGCUCCAGGGGACUCACAGAUGGAUGACUCAUAAUGAGAUAGGAGGCAGCUCGUCACUUCAGUGUGAAUCUGCAUACCUUUCAUUUUAACCCACAAACCUCCACCUGUGUGGAGGGCAUAGCAGGGACAUAGCGAGAGUGGGAUGCCAUAAAUGACUGAAGUCAAGGUUGUAAUGGUCCAGCAACAUUUGCAGAAUCCUGAAAUGGUGCACAGAAUCCUGAAAUGGACAAUCACCUGGAAGCACUGCUGUAGAGGGACUUCCGCAUUGAGAGGGGACUGGAGCCAACUACUCCCAACAUCUCCUUUCCAGAAUUCCAAGUCUCAGGUUUCCUGUGCAUGUCCACCUGUUUUCUCCUCAACAAAACAAAACAAAAAACUUCCCAAGAACCCAAGAGCAUCCUGGUGGGAUUCUGGAAGAUUGGGCCAAUCCAAGAUUCUUUGCAGAUGCUGGACAUUUAACUCUAUCAAACUGGUAGGAGUCAUUCCACUCCUACAUAUUUGCUCGAAGGAAAUGAAAGCAUAACCCCACACAAAGACUAAGGCAUGAAUGUUCACGGCAGCUUUCCAAAAACUGCAACCAACCCAAAAGUCCAGCAGCAAAUGAAAGGAUAAACAACUUGUGUUAUAUCCAUUCAGUGGAAUACUACACAACAAUAAAAAGGAAUGAACUAUUGAUACAUGCAACAAUAUUAAUGAAUCAUAAAAUAUUUCUUCUGAAUGAAAGAUGAAAAAAUGGAGUCUGGAUGAGGAUACACUGUUUGAAACUGGCACUGCCCCACUACGUCCAAUACCACCCUGACCCUCAUCAGCCACCCUCCUAUAUGCAACUUUGAGCUGUACACUGGGGCGACGCAGGUGGGAUCGUAGGGGAAUCCUGUCCUCCAAGACCAAGCAGGCUGAUAGGAAAAGCUCUGCAAAACACAGUCAUGCACCCUGAAAACUUACAAGAGAGCUGAAGAGUGAAGGCUGAUCCCCUGGAAGCUGGUGCUCCAAACUGAGGACAAAAGUGAGCAUCUACACAAGCAGGCUAGCAGCACAGGGAGAGAGAGGGCUCUCUCAGACACUGGCCAGGGCAGGCUCCUGGGACAAGAAAGCGGGACUGAUUCACACCUGGAAGAUAAUCAUCAGGGAGCACCAUCUGCGGUCCAAGACCCCAAAGGAGAAAAUGGUGCUCCGAAGACACGAGAUCAGCACAGAGCUGGAGUCCCCCACCCACAGCCAUCCAGCUGCCAAGCAGUUCAGGACAAGGCCCCCAAAUCAUCAUGCGAAUUACUGUGAAGCUACAUUUCUCCAGGGCUUACCAUGUACAGAGCCAGGAUUUGAACUCGGGUAGACUGAUUCUAUUCUCAGAUUCCAUCCUGCCUCCCAGCCAUCCUACUGCUCACUGAGCCUUGCACAGCAGGCUGGCACCUGGCAUGCUUGGCAGUGGGUACAUCCUUCCUCAUUCCACAACUGAGGAAGCAGCAGCUCCGUGAAAUUAGGCCGUUUGCAAUGGCCACAUACUCCUGAGAGGUAGAAUGGGUAUUCUACCAGUGCUGACCAACCAGACUUGAGCUCAUCAUUCAACACAUGGCACCUGAACUGAGAAAAGGGGUCAUGGGAUGGAAAGAGCUCUGGGCCCCUGACAAUUCUGUGGCCCUAGCCUACAGCUCCCCACAAGGCUCGGCUCCUAUAUAGGGACUCCAUGGUCUAGUGGGAAAGGCCCUGGGCCAGAAGGCCAUGGCCAGGUUUAGGUCAGGACUCUGUAGCACUAGUUAUGUGACCUUAGGAAGUCACUUUGUCCCUGUGACUUGGUUUCCCCAUCUGCAAAACAGAGAUAACAUCUAACCUCACGUGAUUAUUGUCAUCUAGUGAGAUAAGUGAAUGUGGAAUCACUUUGAAAAGACUACAACACUACACUGCAGGAUAGCCUUGUUGCCUGUAAAGGAAACCUCUCCAAGGCUAUGACCACUACAGAUUUUGCCUGAGGUUAAGUCCCUUACUUCUCUCCCACUCCCACCCCCAGCCUGCCUGGGUUCAGUGUUCUUAAAUUGAAACUGAAGCU